GUGGGGAAUUUUGGACAAUGGGCGCAAGCCUGAUCCAGCAAUACCGCGUGCAGGAAGAAGGCCUUCGGGUUGUAAACUGCUUUUGUACGGAACGAAACGGUCCUGGUUAAUACCUGGGGCUAAUGACGGUACCGUAAGAAUAAGCACCGGCUAACUACGUGCCAGCAGCCGCGGUAAUACGUAGGGUGCGAGCGUUAAUCGGAAUUACUGGGCGUAAAGCGUGCGCAGGCGGUGCUGUAAGACAGGCGUGAAAUCCCCGGGCUCAACCUGGGAAUUGCGCUUGUGACUGCAGUGCUGGAGUACGGCAGAGGGGGAUGGAAUUCCGCGUGUAGCAGUGAAAUGCGUAGAUAUGCGGAGGAACACCGAUGGCGAAGGCAGUCCCCUGGGCCUGUACUGACGCUCAUGCACGAAAGCGUGGGGAGCAAACAGGAUUAGAAACCCCAGUAGUCC
rnacentral:rRNA from 1 species